rnacentral:lncRNA from 1 species
GUCCGGGGCGGCGUGACGUCGGUGCAAGGAGGCAGGCAGGGAGGCGCCGGGGCGACGGUGCGACGCCGACGCGAGGAGGCAGGCGGGGAGGCGCGGAGUGGCGUCGGCGACCUCGACGACGGGGAGGCGGCGUUGGGAGGCGGAGAUGGUCUUGCUCUGUCGCUGUCUUUCGGUGGCGUCGGUGGAGGCCAGGGAGAGAGAUGAAGAUUGUGGACCCAUGUGUGGAACCCAUGUUUGGCAAGUGAAUGGUAAGUAGAGUGGACUAGCCAAAUUUGGCUAGUGAGGGAAGUGAUUUAGCCAUCCGGAUGGCUUGAAGAGUCAGAUAGAGAGACUGUUGGAGUGCUGUUUUUAUUC